UACAGAGGUGGCAAGCGUUGUUCGGAAUUACUGGGCGUAAAGGGCUCGUAGGCGGCCAACUAAGUCAGACGUGAAAUCCCCAGGCUCAACCUGGGAACUGCGUCUGAUACUGGAUGGCUUGAAUCCGGGAGAGGGAUGCAGAAUUCCAGGUGUAGCGGUGAAAUGCGUAGAUAUCUGGAGGAAUACCGGUGGCGAAGGCGGCAUCCUGGACCGGCAUUGACGCUGAGGAGCGAAAGCUAGGGGAGCAAACGGGG
rnacentral:rRNA from 1 species